GUCCCGGGCAAGUGUGCACACUGCCCCCUAGUGUGUGUGUGUGUGUGUGUGUGUGUGUGUGUGUUCACGAGUGUGUAUGUGGUGUUUCACUUCACGGUUGGGUUAAACGUGGAGGUGAAACUUCCCCGUUGGUGGACUAAUAAGGGUCUCUUAAUCUUAGUCCAUCUCUCUGCACGCUGGCCUUGCACACUUUAUCAGUAGUGGUCUUGAUUUUUGGCAUUUCCAGACUAAAAUAUCUCAAACCAGCAGCGAACAUCAUCUUCUCGCUCAGUUACAGACUGAGGUUGCCGUGGGCUCAUGGUAAGAUGUGGAAUGUCAUCAUCUGGAUCUCGUUACAUUGUUACGUCGGGUUCGUGGCCCAGCGCGAGCUGCGGACUGGGAUCUGGAUCGGUUAUUCAGGGACAAUGUACAAACUUCACUGUAUCUGCAUCACUGACCAAUAAGUGUGUGUUGUUUUUAAAAAAAAAAAAGUCCCGUCUGAACUUCAAUCUCAGGAAGUGUUGACCAGGAAUUGGUGCUGGACCUUCAGCGAGGGGACUUUCCUUCAGGAGAGUGUGUGUGUGUGUGUGUGUGUGUGUGUGUGUGUAGAGCUGGGCGAUAUGACGAAGCGUAAUAUCACAAUACUUCCAGAUAUUUUUAUGAUGCGCAGUGUUUAAUUUUAUCUGGUCAGCUGGAACAGAAAGUAGUGCCAAGUUUAAAAUAUUAUUAAAAAUGAUGAGUGCAGUUAUUCUAUAGCUCUAUACAUGAUACUGAAUCACUGGCUGUGUGUGUGUGUGUGUGUGUGCGCGUGUGUGUGUGUGUGUACGUAUGUAUAACCUCUUUAAAGUGACCCACUUGUGGGCCUUUAGGGAGAACGCCCAAGUGUCCCACUCUCCGUGUGUGUGUGUGUGUGUGUGUGUGUGUGUGUCUCUGUCUGUCUGUCUGUCUGUCUGUCUGUCUGUCUGUCUGUCUGUCUGUCUGUCUGUGUAAUAGUUGUUGUCCUUCUUGGCUCUGAUCCAGAUAUUCCAGGCGUGUGUGUUUAGUGAGUUUAGUUACAAGUUUGAGUUAGUGACUGGUCAGAGUCUCUCUCUCUCUCUCUCUCUCUCUCUCUCUCUCUCUCUCUCUCUCUCUCUCUCUCUCUCUCUCUCUCUCUCUCUCUCUCUCUCUGAUCUCACAGAGGUGUGGACGCUCAGUCUGGUCUGAGCUCAGCUGAGAGCGUGUGUGUGCGUGUGUGUGUGGAGACACGGAGAUAGGGAAGCGUCCGAGUAUGGAAUUAAACUCUAAACGGAUUUUACUGUCCAGAACGGAGAUCAGGAGGAGAGUCCAGUAGCCGCCCGGAGGCUUUAAAGGUAAGACAGUUUAUUAGUUAUUGACCUGCCGGUGUUUCCAGUGUGUGGACUGAUCGGUUACGGUCUGUAAUCUUAUCAGAUUACAGGGGAAUUGGGCGUAAAUCUCUGAGCUGAUUCACUGCAAUUAUGAUUCUGUGGGAAAGGACUCAAAGAAUCGUUAUAAGAUCAAAUGAUUCGAUUUGCUUAUUUUGGUAGGAAUCAGUGACUUGUUUAAAGUACCGUGGGAUUUCAGGCGGGGGCUGGGGGGACAUGGUUACGCAGUAUUGGAAUAUACUCAGUUGUAGAAUUUAUUGA
ensembl:lncRNA